CUCUCGACCUCUCCUAAUGUCACGAUUGACAGCAUGCAACAGCGGACCAAUCAGCAGUCAGGAUGUGGAAGAGACGAGUCGGCCUCCAAACGUCUGACAAACGGCGGACAUUUAUCUAUGAAAAUUUGGAGAAGCUGCUGUUGGUGUGUUUGAAGGAGAGUCUACUCUCCAAGCAACUCUUCUUGGUCAACAUCAGUAUUGUCCUGCCCAUCCUUCCUGGACAUGAGGUCAGGACAUGAGGAUUUCAAAGAAGGAUGAGCUCACCUUCACCACAAUUGAAUCAGCUUUCACUUUCAGGCUCAAUAAAAAGGAGUGAGAGUGACUGGGAUGUGAGGAAAUUAGUUUCUCAGGAAUUCAUCUUCCUAAACACCAAA